rnacentral:rRNA from 2 species
UUAAAUUGAAGAGUUUGAUCAUGGCUCAGAUUGAACGCUGGCGGCAGGCCUAACACAUGCAAGUCGAACGGUAACAGGAAACAGCUUGCUGUUUCGCUGACGAGUGGCGGACGGGUGAGUAAUGUCUGGGAAACUGCCUGAUGGAGGGGGAUAACUACUGGAAACGGUAGCUAAUACCGCAUAACGUCGCAAGACCAAAGAGGGGGACCUUCGGGCCUCUUGCCAUCGGAUGUGCCCAGAUGGGAUUAGCUAGUAGGUGGGGUAACGGCUCACCUAGGCGACGAUCCCUAGCUGGU